UACGUAGGGUGCGAGCGUUAAUCGGAAUUACUGGGCGUAAAGCGUGCGCAGGCGGCGCGUUAAGACAGGUGUGAAAGCCCCGAGCUUAACUUGGGAAUUGCGCUUGUGACUGGCGUGCUGGAGUGUGGCAGAGGGAGGUGGAAUUCCACGUGUAGCAGUGAAAUGCGCAGAUAUCGGGAGGAACACCAAUGGCGAAGGCAGCUCGCUGGGACGUUACUGACGCUGAGACGCGAAAGCGUGGGGAGCAAACAGG
rnacentral:rRNA from 1 species